AUACGUAGGGGGCUAGCGUUAUCCGGAAUUACUGGGCGUAAAGGGUGCGUAGGUGGUUUCUUAAGUCAGAGGUGAAAGGCUACGGCUCAACCGUAGUAAGCCUUUGAAACUGGGAAACUUGAGUGCAGGAGAGGAGAGUGGAAUUCCUAGUGUAGCGGUGAAAUGCGUAGAUAUUAGGAGGAACACCAGUGGCGAAGGCGACUUACUGGACUGUAACUGACGCUGAGUCACGAAAGCGUGGGUAGC
rnacentral:rRNA from 1 species